rnacentral:rRNA from 1 species
AGACAUCUCCUAGUGUGAAAAACUCCGGUGGUACAGGAUGGGCCCGCGUCUGAUUAGCUGGUUGGCAGGGUAACGGCCUACCAAGGCAACGAUCAGUAGCCGGUCUGAGAGGAUGAACGGCCACAUUGGAACUGAGACACGGUCCAAACUCCUACGGGAGGCAGCAGUGAGGAAUAUUGGUCAAUGGGCGAGAGCCUGAACCAGCCAAGUAGCGUGAAGGAUGACUGCCCUAUGGGUUGUAAACUUCUUUUAUACGGGAAUAAAGUGAGGCACGUGUGCCUUUUUGUAUGUACCGUAUGAAUAAGGAUCGGCUAACUCCGUGCCAGCAGCCGCGGUAAUACGGAGGAUCCGAGCGUUAUCCGGAUUUAUUGGGUUUAAAGGGAGCGUAGAUGGAUGUUUAAGUCAGUUGUGAAAGUUUGCGGCUCAACCGUAAAAUUGCAGUUGAUACUGGAUAUCUUGAGUGCAGUUGAGGCAGGCGGAAUUCGUGGUGUAGCGGUGAAAUGCUUAGAUAUCACGAAGAACUCCGAUUGCGAAGGCAGCUUGCUGGACUGUAACUGACGCUGAUGCUCGAAAGUGUGGGUAUCAAACAGGAUUAGAUACCCUGGUAGUCCACACGGUAAACGAUGAAUACUCGCUGUUUGCGAUAUACAGCAAGCGGCCAAGCGAAAGCGUUAAGUAUUCCACCUGGGGAGUACGCCGGCAACGGUGAAACUCAAAGGAAUUGACGGGGGCCCGCACAAGCGGAGGAACAUGUGGUUUAAUUCGAUGAUACGCGAGGAACCUUACCCGGGCUUAAAUUGCAGAUGAAUUACGGUGAAAGCCGUAAGCCGCAAGGCAUCUGUGAAGGUGCUGCAUGGUUGUCGUCAGCUCGUGCCGUGAGGUGUCGGCUUAAGUGCCAUAACGAGCGCAACCCUUGUUGUCAGUUACUAACAGGUCAUGCUGAGGACUCUGACAAGACUGCCAUCGUAAGAUGUGAGGAAGGUGGGGAUGACGUCAAAUCAGCACGGCCCUUACGUCCGGGGCUACACACGUGUUACAAUGGGGGGUACAGAAGGCAGCUACACGGCGACGUGAUGCUAAUCCCUAAAGCCUCUCUCAGUUCGGAUUGGAGUCUGCAACCCGACUCCAUGAAGCUGGAUUCGCUAGUAAUCGCGCAUCAGCCACGGCGCGGUGAAUACGUUCCCGGGCCUUGUACACACCGCCCGUCACACCAUGAGAGUCGGUAACACCCGAAGCCGGUGGCCUAACCGCAAGGAAGGAGCUGUCUAAGGUGGGACUGAUGAUUGGGGUGAAGUCGUAACAAGGUAUCCCUACGGGAACGUGGGGAUG